CGGACGGGUGAGUAACGCGUGAGUAAUCUGCCCUCCGGUGGGGUAUAACCUCGGGAAACUGAGGAUAAUCCCGCAUACGACCUGCAUCCCUUGGGGUGCAGAUGAAAGGCUUCGGUCGCCGGAGGAGGAGCUCGCGUCCUAUCAGGUAGUUGGUGGGGUAAUGGCCCACCAAGCCGAUGACGGGUAGCUGGUCUGAGAGGAUGACCAGCCAGAGGGGGACUGAGAACGGCCCCCACUCCUACGGGAGGCAGCAGCAGGGAAUCUUGGGCAAUGGGCGAAAGCCUGACCCAGCGACGUCGCGUGGGGGACGAAGGCCUUCGGGUUGUAAACCCCUUUUCCGAGGGAAGAUACAGGACGGUACCUCGGGAAUAAGCCCCGGCUAACUACGUGCCAGCAGCCGCGGUAAUACGUAGGGGGCAAGCGUUACCCGGAAUCACUGGGCGUAAAGAGCGCGUAGGCGGUUGGAUAAGUCUCUUGUGAAAGCUCCCGGCUCAACUGGGAGAGGUCAAGGGAUACUAUUCGACUAGAGGACAGCAGAGGUAAGCAGAAUUCCCGGUGUAGCGGUGGAAUGCGUAGAUAUCGGGAGGAACACCAGUGGCGAAAGCGGCUUACUGGGCUGUAUCUGACGCUGAGGCGCGAGAGCGUGGGGAGCAAACCGGAUUAGAUACCCAGGUAGUCCACGCCCUAAACGAUGGA
rnacentral:rRNA from 1 species